GAUGAACGCUGGCGGCGUGCCUAAUACAUGCAAGUCGAGCGAACAGAUGAGGAGCUUGCUCCUCUGACGUUAGCGGCGGACGGGUGAGUAACACGUGGAUAACCUACCUAUAAGACUGGGAUAACUUCGGGAAACCGGAGCUAAUACCGGAUAAUAUAUUGAACCGCAUGGUUCAAUAGUGAAAGACGGUUUUGCUGUCACUUAUAGAUGGAUCCGCGCCGCAUUAGCUAGUUGGUAAGGUAACGGCUUACCAAGGCAACGAUGCGUAGCCGACCUGAGAGGGUGAUCGGCCACACUGGAACUGAGACACGGUCCAGACUCCUACGGGAGGCAGCAGUAGGGAAUCUUCCGCAAUGGGCGAAAGCCUGACGGAGCAACGCCGCGUGAGUGAUGAAGGUCUUCGGAUCGUAAAACUCUGUUAUUAGGGAAGAACAAAUGUGUAAGUAACUAUGCACGUCUUGACGGUACCUAAUCAGAAAGCCACGGCUAACUACG
rnacentral:rRNA from 1 species